rnacentral:rRNA from 1 species
AUGUGUUCUUUCUGUGGGGAGAAUGAAACCUCCCAGCAUCUCUUUUUUACCUGUCCUGUAGCUAAAGUGACCUGGAGAAGCGUUGCUUGCAUGCUCGGCACUGAUCUGUGCCCGAACAGCUUAUGGCGGGCUUAUUCCUGGUGUUAUGUUUACUUUCCGAAUGGGGAGAUUUUCUACACUGUCGGCAUAGCUGCGCUUUGCUGGGCUAUUUGGACAUGUCGCAAUGGUGCUACAUUCGAAAAUAAACGUUUGAAAACACCUUUUGAAUGAUGCUUCUCUAUGUGUACUUUUCUUGGUUAUUAGGCAGGACUGUUGAAGCAAGAGGAUGCGGUUGACCUGCGAGCAGGAGUGGACAUGCUGAAGAACAGUGCGUCAAGGCUGAUGCGCAUCUGCGCUGCGAACAAGGACUGA